rnacentral:rRNA from 1 species
UUUAAUGGCUGCAGUAUAAUUGACUGUACAAAGGUAGCAUAAUCAAUUGAUUUUUAAAUGAAAUCUAGAAUGAAAGAAUUAAUGAAAUAUAUACUGUCUCAUAUUUAUUUUAUAAAUUUAAAAUUUUAAUAAAAAUGUUAAAAUUUAUUUAUGGGACGAUAAGACCCUAUAGAAUUUUAUAUUAUAUUAAUUUUAUAAUUAAUAUAAAAUUUAAUUUAAUAUUUAAUUGGGAGAAUUAUUAAAUUUAAUAAAUUUUAAUAAAUAUAAACUUUAAUUUAAGAAUAUAUUUUGAUCAUUAAUUUAAAAUUAUUAGAAUAAAUUACCUUAGGGAUAACAGCGUUAUAUUUUUUUAUAGAUCUUAUAGAAAAAAAUGAUUGCGACCUCGAUGUUGAAUUAAGAUAAAUUUUAAAUGUAGAAG